GUGGGUUGGCUCAGUGGUUAGAGUGUAGGUCUCCUAACCGAAAGGUCGCGGGAUCGAAUCCCGCUAGGGGCUGACA
rnacentral:tRNA from 1 species